UACGUAGGGCGCAAGCGUUAUCCGGAUUUACUGGGCGUAAAGAGCGUGUAGGCGGCCAAGCAGGUCCGUUGUGAAAACUGGAGGCUUAACCUCCAGACGUCGACGGAAACCGCGUGGCUAGAGUCCGGAAGAGGAGAGUGGAAUUCCUGGUGUAGCGGUGAAAUGCGCAGAUAUCAGGAAGAACACCAAUGGCGAAGGCAGCUCUCUGGGACGGUACUGACGCUGAGACGCGAAAGCGUGGGGAGCGAACAGG
rnacentral:rRNA from 1 species